rnacentral:sRNA from 1 species
GAAUUUCAAAAUAUAGGAGAGUUACGGCAUUUUAGCUUAAGCCAAGCCGAAGCUCAUCUACUCGUAAUGUGGCCAAUAAAUGAAGCAACAAAUACCAAUUAGCGCCAACAGAAUUCGCCUGGCCGUGGUCUUAGCAGUAAAACAGGGCCAAAACCGAUGUAGAAAUGGCCAAGCAACAGUGGUAUAAAUGUAAAUACGAACUUUGGAGUAAAUGAGAGCCAUCAAGAGAGAGGAAGCUUCGAAUGCCGGCCCGCCCUAUUUGGUCUGCCCACGCAACUAUCCAUGGAGCCACCCAUUUCCCCCCCGGGCGACUUUCCUGGGCGCCCACGCAGACCAGCAGGUGACGCUGAUUCGACGACGUCCUCGAAGCGUUGGCGUUGCACUCAAAUGCGAAAAGCGACAGUAGAAGCUUUUCCGAGGGCGGAUAAUAAACAAAAAUAUGGCUCGUAUUUCCGACACCUGUCGUUGGGCGUUCUUGGUUAAAUUACUUAAUUGAAG